rnacentral:rRNA from 1 species
CCUACGGGAGGCAGCAGUAGGGAAUAUUGCUCAAUGGGGGAAACCCUGAAGCAGCAACGCCGCGUGGAGGAUGAAGGUUUUCGGAUUGUAAACUCCUUUUGUUAGAGAAGAUAAUGACGGUAUCUAACGAAUAAGCACCGGCUAACUCCGUGCCAGCAGCCGCGGUAAUACGGAGGGUGCAAGCGUUACUCGGAAUCACUGGGCGGAAAGAGCGCGUAGGCGGGAUAGAAAGUCAGAUGUGAAAACCUAUGGCUUAACCAUAGAACUGCAUUUGAAACUGUUAUUCUAGAGUAUGGGAGAGGUAGGUGGAAUUCUUGGUGUAGGGGUAAAAUCCGUAGAGAUCAAGAGGAAUACUCAUUGCGAAGGCGACCUGCUAGAACAUAACUGACGCUGAUGCGCGAAAGCGUGGGGAGCAAACAGGAUUAGAUACCCGAGUAGUC